GUGAGACCUGGACAAUGGAUUACAUUAGAGAAGGAAAAUGUGAAGACUGAAAAUGCUUCUCUGAUGAGAAAGCAGCCACCUAGAUCCCACGAGCUCAUGUUACCGUAAUAUUUACUAAUAGGACUCUGACAAUGCCUGGCGCAUAACAGUUCCUGGUAGACAGGGUCACUGACAGGUGUCACAGGUCUGGUGACUUACAGGCAUGACACAACAGGAACAUUCGAAGCAGGAGUGGACGAGAAAACGGCAGAUCUGUCCGCUGUGAUGACGGGAUUACCUAACUCGGUGACCAGACACCUUGUUGUCCCUUCCUUUACGCGUCUCCAGCUCGCUCUCUACCAGCCUCUCCCAAGUCUACCAUUGUUUUUACAUGGAGGAUGAACUGGAAGUUGAUUUUUUUUUAAUUAGGCCAAGAAAAAUAACAGAGAAUCUUUGGAAGGAGACAGAAACCGAAUUAAACAAGGCUCCAUUCUGAAGAUGUUCUCAGCUCUCAGAUCCCACAAUCACAAAGCGUCCAAAGAGAAAAGACAACUGGUCGAGGAUGGACUUCAUUCUCCCAGUACUUAUAACAAAGAGCUCAGACUCGCCUCUUACUGGUGCUUCGUCGUAUUAGAGCAAGUGACUCUGUAGACGUGCUCUGUUCACCUGCUUUCCCUGCUUGCUUCAGCUCACUCCCCAUCACCUAUGCACAUCCACUUUCCACAGCAGGAUGCAGUCAAGGACCACAUAAAGGAAGAUUUCUACUUGACUUUGCCAGAAGUGGGGCGGUUCUAAAGUUCAACACAAAUGCUGGGCUGGAAGCCGUCCUGAUAACAUAGGUGUU
ensembl:processed_transcript 4933401H06Rik RIKEN cDNA 4933401H06 gene